rnacentral:rRNA from 1 species
ACGGGUGAGUAACACGUGGGCAACCUGCCCUGUAGAUUGGGAUAACUCCGGGAAACCGGGGCUAAUACCGAAUAAUCCAUUUCCUCACAUGGGGAGAUGUUAAAAGACGGUCUCGGCUGUCACUACAGGAUGGGCCCGCGGCGCAUUAGCUAGUUGGUGAGGUAACGGCUCACCAAGGCGACGAUGCGUAGCCGACCUGAGAGGGUGAUCGGCCACACUGGGACUGAGACACGGCCCAGACUCCUACGGGAGGCAGCAGUAGGGAAUCUUCCACAAUGGACGAAAGUCUGAUGGAGCAAUGCCGCGUGAGUGAAGAAGGUUUUCGGAUCGUAAAACUCUGUUGUGAGGGAAGAACAAGUAUGAGAGUAACUGCUCGUACCUUGACGGUACCUCAUUAGAAAGCCACGGCUAACUACGUGCCAGCAGCCGCGGUAAUACGUAGGUGGCAAGCGUUGUCCGGAAUUAUUGGGCGUAAAGCGCGCGCAGGCGGUCCCUUAAGUCUGAUGUGAAAUCCCACGGCUCAACCGUGGAAGGCCAUUGGAAACUGGGGGACUUGAGUACAGAAGAGGAAAGCGGAAUU